rnacentral:rRNA from 1 species
UACGAAGGGGGCUAGCGUUGUUCGGAAUUACUGGGCGUAAAGCGUGCGCAGGCGGUUCUCCAAGUCAGUGGUGAAAGCCCGGGGGCUCAACUCCGGAAUUGCCUUUAAGACUGCAUCGCUAGAAUUGUGGAGAGGUAAGUGGAAUUCCGAGUGUAGAGGUGAAAUUCGUAGAUAUUCGCAAGAACACCGGUGGCGAAGGCGGCCAACUGGACCAUUACUGACGCUGAGGCGCGAAAGCGUGGGGAGCAAACAGG